GCCUCUUUAGCGCAGCAGACGGCGCGUCAGUAUCAUAAUAGAAUGUAGAAGUCUGAAUGUCGUGAGUUCGAUCCUUACACGGGGCA
rnacentral:tRNA from 1 species